GUUAUUUAUAUGCAUUUUUAGUAGUAGUAGUAGUAGUAGUAGUAGUAGUAGUAGUAGUUCGUCAUUACACACACACAAAAUAAUAAUAAUAAUAAUAAUAAUAAUAAUUAAUAAUUAAUAAUUAAAUAAAAAUUCCAAUGUACCGCUCAGUUUAAUGUUAGUAAGUGACCACUGGGUGGAUAUGGAGUCUUAAAUGUGAGUUAAAGUUAUGAAUGUCGUGGAUGUGUAAUUACUUUCGCUUUCGAGCGCAUUUUCUGUGAGAGUGAAACUGUGUUUGGGGUAGUCAGUGAAAGUGUGCUGAUGAAAAAACAUCCCUGACAGGUAUAAUGUAGACAUCAGCUCAAUCUGAAUCUUAAGCUUCACGGUUAAGUUUAUGAACACACCUAUUGAAAUAAGAACAGACUGAAUGAAAAGCACCGGGAUGAAUUUUAUCCCUGGAAUUCGAUCUGUCCGUUUAACAGGAUUUUCAGUUGCGUUAAUGCUGUUAUCGACAUGCUCGUGCAGCGACCACCCUGUCGUUAAAGUUAAUGCUAUGGUUGGAGAAGCAGCAGCUCUUCCCUGCAUGUGUCCUCCUGACAGUCCUCCAUAUCUGGUCUGGCAGAAGACCAUCGCUGAUCAGGCACUUGUGGUUAAUUACUAUAAAGAUGACGACCAAGAAGAGAACCAAAUGGCACUCGAGUACAGGAACAGAACAGAGCUGAGGCUGACAGGAAACUGUUCUCUUGUGAUUCAUAGUGUGUGUUCAUCAGACCAAGGACUGUACACCUGUUACUAUAAGAGUAAACCUUUAAGGCAUGAAACAAUCUAUCUGGAGGUCACAGCAAAACAAGUACAAGAAAAAGAGUCAGAUGAACCUCAGAGCGUCUGGAGCACCAUUGUGAUGUCUUCAGUCUGCGGGUUUCUCGUCAUUUUGAUCACAAUUGCUGCAGCAUAUGUGAUAAUUACUUGCAGAAAUAGACAUCAGAUAAGAAGAACAUCCAUUGCAACAUCAAUGAGGAGCAUUUAACAGCUGUCAUUAAUAUAGUGAUCUUUAUCACUGUUUUUAGUGGCUUUUCAUGGAUGGUAGAAAAUGCAACAAACAAAACCAUCAAUAAUGUGCUCAAUCAGACUAUACUCAAAUACAAUGUUUAGUUUUCUCAAAAUCCCUGGAUCUGUCCAAAGUCUGCUGGAUUAUGUGUUUUAUUUCCUAUGGCAGAUUUUUGCUGAUAAAUAAACUGAUAUUUUGGUGCAGGUUAACAGAAAAAUUAUACAAAUUAUUAAUUUAUUUCUACUACUGACAUUUGUAAUAAUACAAAGCUGGUUGAAAAUUGGUGUAAAUGCAACUGUGAAUUGCCAACCAAUGGCUAUCAGCCAUCCAAAACACCCCAGCAAACCACAUAGCACCCAUCCUGAACACCCUAGUAAGUACAUGUAACAUUCUAAUCACAAAAAAAAACGUUCUUAGAAUAUUAAAAAUAAGCAUUCAAAUAACAUAUUAUGGGUGAAAAUAAAGUUAUUAAAACUUUGUAAGAAACGCCUCUGUGACCUUUAACAUCAUAACCGUGAUAAGAAAACUUUUUUUUCAAUGUUUUAGAAGCAUUCCAAAACUGGAAUGUUCCUACAGCAUUUGUAUAACUUAUAACAAUUUUUAUUGCAGAUCCUCAAAAUAACAAUUUUAUCUUUGGUGUCAUUUUACAUUUGGUCACUUCAUGCAUGUAGAUUAAUCAGAGCAUGAAAAGAUUCCAUUGCACUGAUACUGACCACAUUCUCUGUAGAAUGUAUAUAGAUAUUCACUUAAUGUUUUUGCUUUCUAAUAUUUGCUUUGGUUCUGACCAGACUGUUGGAUUCACUGUAACACUUCCAGUGUGUGUGUGUGUUUGCUUUCACAGGGCAUUAGUAAAUGUAGUCAAACAGCAGGAAUCCACCACUGACCCAGAUAUCUAUGUGGGUUGUGUAACAUGUCUCGCAUUCCUGCAUUUAUUGCUUUUAAAGCAGUUUUUUGACAAAGAUGUUGAUUUCUUUCUUUCUUUCUUUCUUUCUUUCUUUCUUUCUUUCUUUCUUUCUUUCUUUCUUUCUUUCUUUCUUUCUUUCUUUCUUUCUUUCUUUCUUUCUUUCUUUCUUUCUUUCUUUCUUUCUUUCUUUCUUUAAAAAAAGCCUGAUGUUAUGUAUUAAUGCCAAAAAUGUUUUGUGAUUAAAUAUGUUUUGCCAUAUAUACAGUAUACCAACUAACAAGGAACAUUGUACAAACUUUGGUUAAUAUUAUUUCAGAAAUGUUAUUACAAUGUUUUAGUUGGACGCUCAUCCAAUUUUUUUUUUAAUAUUACUUGUUUCAGAACAUUCAGAACACAUUCAAAAGUAAUGAUCAAAUAAUGUUUGCAAAAUGAUCAAAUGUAAUGUUCCUGUUAUGUUUGCAUAACCAAGAAAAAAUGUUCAUAAAUUAUUUCAAUUAACAUUUUCAGAACCUAGGGGGAAUGUUAGCACAAUGUUUUUAUAACAUAUUUUGUUAGCUGUGAUAUUACUAAUAAAACAUCUGAAACUCUCAGUAUCCAAGCAUAACACUGGGAAAUGACUGAAAUGUAUAUUAUAUAAAACUGAACAAAAUGCCAGUGUGUUGCAAAAUGCCAUGAAUGUUCACCAAGCUAAAACAUUUGUUCUUAGCAGAUGUCACUCGUACUUGUAAUGGAGUGUGAAACGUCAGAUUGACUGUCAAUGCUGGUGGCAAAAUUCUAACACAAACUGUUCUGAAUGGUGACCUGAAAAAAGUGUUUGAUCUGAUCUAAACUAACUGGUUUUAUUCAGAUUGAAAAUAUAACAUGACUGAAUCAAGCUGAUGGGGAUUUAAAAUGCAUGUUUCUGUAUAUAUUUCUUAUCAAUAUUUGUCCAAAAUAAUCAUUAAAUUAUGAGAAAGACGUUUAAAAAAAUAUCUUGCUCAUGUAUUUGCAUUAAAUCAUCCAUUUUGUGUGUGUCCGA
ensembl:lncRNA